rnacentral:rRNA from 1 species
GAUGAACGCUGGCGGCGUGCCUAACACAUGCAAGUCGAGCGAAGCACUUACUUUAGAUUUCUUCGGAAUGACGAAGUUUGUGACUGAGCGGCGGACGGGUGAGUAACGCGUGGGCAACCUGCCCUGUACAGGGGGAUAACAGUUAGAAAUGACUGCUAAUACCGCAUAAGCCCACAGCUUCGCAUGAAGCAGUGGGAAAAACUCCGGUGGUACAGGAUGGGCCCGCGUCUGAUUAGCUAGUUGGUAAGGUAACGGCUUACCAAGGCGACGAUCAGUAGCCGACCUGAGAGGGUGACCGGCCACAUUGGGACUGUGACACGGCCCAAACUCCUACGGGAGGCAGCAGUGGGGAAUAUUGCACAAUGGGGGAAACCCUGAUGCAGCGACGCCGCGUGAGCGAUGAAGUAUUUCGGUAUGUAAAGCUCUAUCAGCAGGGAAGAAAGUGACGGUACCUGACUAAGAAGCCCCGGCUAACUACGUG